rnacentral:rRNA from 1 species
GCCACACCGUAAAUUUGAACUACACUUAAAACGCCAGGGUACUACGAGCCGAGCUUAAAACCCAAAGGAUUUGACGGUGUUCCACCCAACUAGAGGAGCCUGUUCUAUAAUCGAUGAUCCACGAUAUACCUAACCAUUUUUUGCUAUUCAGCCUGUAUACCUCCGUCGUAAGCUUACCGCUUGAGUGAGGAAAAGUAAGCAAAAGGGCCUAAGGCCAAAACGUCAGGUCAAGGUGCAGCUUAUAAAAUGGAAGAAAUGAGCUACAAUUUCUAAUUUAGAAUACACGAAUUACUGCAUGAAACAAAGUCAUGAAGGUGGAUUUAGCAGUAAGUGAGGAAUAGAGAGCCUCACUUAAUUCGGCCCUGGAACGCGUACAAACCGCCCGUCACCCUCUUCGAUAGCUUAAUUAAUAGUUAAAUAACCUAUUCACCGCGUUUUAGAAGAGGCAAGUCGUAACAUGGUAAGCAUACUGGAAAGUGUUCUUGGAAUAACAAAAUGUGGCUUAAUAAAAGCUCUCCGCUUACACCGGGAAGAUGUCCGUGCAACCCAGACCAUUUUGAGCCCCAAAUUUAGCCUUAUACUAUUUCAUAAGUUUAACAGUCUUAAAUUUAUUUAAUAAAACAUUUUAACUCCUUAAGUAAAGGCGAUUGAAAAAGCUCUAAGCGCUAUAGAAACAGUACCGCAAGGGAAAAAUGAAAUAAUAAUGAAAUAAUUAAAGCUACUUACAGCAGAGCAUUUACCU